rnacentral:rRNA from 1 species
CCUACGGGAGGCAGCAGUGGGGAAUCUUGGGCAAUGGGCGCAAGCCUGACCCAGCAAUACCGCGUGAGGGAUGAAGGCCUUCGGGUCGUAAACCUCUGUCAGUAGGAACGAUGGGUCUCCGGGCUAAUAUCCCGGAGACUUGACGGUACUUACAAAGGAAGCCCCGGCUAACUCCGUGCCAGCAGCCGCGGUAAU